GAUGAACGCUGACAGAAUGCUUAACACAUGCAAGUCAACUUGAAUUUGGGUUUUUAACUUAGGUUUGGGUGGCGGACGGGUGAGUAACGCGUAAAGAACUUGCCUCACAGCUAGGGACAACAUUUGGAAACGAAUGCUAAUACCUAAUAUUAUGAUAAUAGGGCAUCCUAUAAUUAUGAAAGCUAUAAGCGCUGUGAGAGAGCUUUGCGUCCCAUUAGCUAGUUGGAGAGGUAACGGCUCACCAAGGCGAUGAUGGGUAGCCGGCCUGAGAGGGUGAUCGGCCACAAGGGGACUGAGACACGGCCCUUACUCCUACGGGAGGCAGCAGUGGGGAAUAUUGGACAAUGGACCAAGAGUCUGAUCCAGCAAUUCUGUGUGCACGAUGAAGUUUUUCGGAAUGUAAGGUGCUUUCAGUUGGGAAGAAAGAAAUGACGGUACCAACAGAAGAAGUGACGGCUAAAUACGUG
rnacentral:rRNA from 1 species